rnacentral:rRNA from 1 species
AGCGAACGCUGGCGGCAGGCCUAACACAUGCAAGUCGAACGGAUCCUUCGGGAUUAGUGGCGGACGGGUGAGUAACACGUGGGAACGUGCCCUUUGGUUCGGAACAACUCAGGGAAACUUGAGCUAAUACCGGAUGUGCCCUUCGGGGGAAAGAUUUAUCGCCAUUGGAGCGGCCCGCGUCUGAUUAGCUAGUUGGUGAGGUAACGGCCCACCAAGGCGACGAUCAGUAGCUGGUCUGAGAGGAUGAUCAGCCACACUGGGACUGAGACACGGCCCAGACUCCUACGGGAGGCAGCAGUGGGGAAUCUUGCGCAAUGGGCGAAAGCCUGACGCAGCCAUGCCGCGUGAAUGAUGAAGGUCUUAGGAUUGUAAAAUUCUUUCAGCGGGGACGAUAAUGACGGUACCCGCAGAAGAAGCUCUGGCUAACUUCGUG